ACACUGGUGAGAAAGGAGAACUUGGAGAAGCCGGCAAAGAUGGGGAGAAGGGUUCAAGAGGACCGCCAGGCCCAGCAGGACCUUCUGGAAAUAUUGGCCUGCAGGGCCCCCGAGGAUUAAACGGAGGAGUUGGGCCAAUCGGUCUUAUUGGCGACAGGGUGAGUUGGAGACCCUCCUUAAUUUUCUUAGCCA